rnacentral:lncRNA from 1 species
UGGUGUGUUGUUUAUUGGCCAUGACCUCCCAUCCUCUCCCCGAAGCAAUGCCUUCCAGGAGGCAGCCCCACAUCCUGUAAGUGCACAGCUCCACUUCCCAGAAGCAUACGCUGGCAUUUGGUUACAUUAAAAGCACUUGCUAUUUAAAUCAUUCCAGCUUACAAAACGAUGUAGAACUGUCCUUCCCUUACCAUUAUUCACCACUGCCAACUAUUGCUCCGAAAUGCAAACCUUGCUAAUAAUGAGCUGAUCUUUUCUUUUAGGUCAUUAACAAAUGUAUUGCACCGAACAGCACCCUAUGCUUGACCACAUCUCCCCAAGUAAAACUACUCACUGAGAUCUCCUGGAAAAUCCAGUAUCUGAGCAUUUCUUAUGUGAAUUUUGCAAAUUCUCAGCCAAAUUUCUCUCACACAAAAGACGUGAUGUGUCAUACAGUCACUGGAUCACACGGGUUUCGAUAGGACUCCUGCAACUUCAGAAGCGUCUCCUGCAUGACA